UCUGCAGAAAGGCGGCGGGCGUACGCGAGCAAGAGGAAGGACAGGGUUAGAAGGGGCAGGCAUGAGCCUCGCACCGGAGUUGGUGGUCGGGAGGCAGACCGGCAGCAACAGCUGGCUUGGCAGAAGGCCAUGCGCGUCGAUGCUUAAAAAGCGAGAGAGGAGCAAGUGAAGGACAGAGAGUUGGAGAGAGCUUGAGAGAGUAGAGGGCGAGCCAAAGGGAGAGAGUGAGACUCAGAGAGCGUUUCGCCGUCGCAUGAAGUACGCCCGUUGCUCGCCACCCGAACCAGACUCGCAACAAGUCGAUUUUUUGUAAGAUCAAUGAAGAAGGGAGAAGUCAGCUGAUUUUUCCAACGAACCAGAAGCGAGGCCGGUUCAUCAACUAAAGGUCCAAUUCAGUUCAGGAAGAAGAAUGAGAUGGAGUAUCCGGAAAAGUGGGCGAAAAGGGAGUCCGAAUUCAGUGAUCCGGACCCGAACAACCGUGCCUCCGCUAGCGGUUUUACCCUCAUUUUGGAGAAAGAAUGCCCAAUGAUGCAACUUCUCCAAAAUUUGGAAAGUCGCCGGCUAUCAAAAGUGCACGGAGCUAGGAGUCGUUUGAACGAGGAAUCCGUGCGAGAGAGGUCGAGUGGUGGCCCAAUCCAAAUAAGCAAGUACAGAAAUAUUGAUGGCAAAAAGGGUUAGUCAUAUGAGGUCCUAUCUCCUCUAAAGUUCACACAAUUGGAUGUUGUAUUUUUCAUUUAAAAGUUAUUGUUCUUUAAUCGACUGAACAUCGCGCGCGGGCUAUAAAGCUAGUUAUAUAAAAAAGUUUAACAUUUAUGAAAGUUCGAGCA